CAAAACCCAAAAACUGCCCCCUCUCUCCCUUUUUUUCUUCUUUGAUUUAUAUAUUUUUAAACAUCUUUUUCUUUUCCUUCACCUGUUUUCGAAUAUAUUCUUAAGACAUUGCAAAAUUGGUUUCCUCUAUCCAAAAAUAAUACUAUGAUCUAUUGCUAUUCAUCAUUUAGAUUUGGUGCACUGAGUCACUGACUGAAAUGGCCUGUAAUGUUCCA
rnacentral:misc_RNA from 1 species